rnacentral:rRNA from 1 species
AACGAACGCUGGCGGCAUGCCUAACACAUGCAAGUCGAACGAGUUCUUCGGGUCUAGUGGCGCACGGGUGCGUAACGCGUGGGAAUCUGCCCUUUGGUUCGGAAUAACAGUUGGAAACGACUGCUAAUACCGGAUGAUGACGAAAGUCCAAAGAUUUAUCGCCAGAGGAUGAGCCCACGUAGGAUUAGCUAGUUGGUGUGGUAAAGGCGCACCAAGGCGACGAUCCUUAGCUGGUCUGAGAGGAUGAUCAGCCACACUGGGACUGAGACACGGCCCAGACUCCUACGGGAGGCAGCAGUGGGGAAUAUUGGACAAUGGGCGAAAGCCUGAUCCAGCAAUGCCGCGUGAGUGAUGAAGGCCUUAGGGUUGUAAAGCUCUUUUACCCGGGAUGAUAAUGACAGUACCGGGAGAAUAAGCUCCGGCUAACUCCGUGCCAGCCGCCGCGGUAA